rnacentral:misc_RNA from 1 species
GGUACUUGACAUACAACUAGAAGUCAAACUAUUUUUACAAUAGAAGCAACUUUAUCAGACUAUGGAACCUUAAAACACCCUUCAUCAUAUUAGAAACAUAGUGAAUCUAAAAGCCUUACAUAAUGCAAGCCACACAUCCAUUACUAUGCACAAAUUAAAUAUAUAUGGUUCUCUGCCGAAUGAGAAUUGAGAAAUCACCAUCUCAUCAUCCCUUCAUGCAGAGACUACAGUUUUCGACUAGCCACACUCUGUGAACAUGGCCAAGUGGUGCAUCACUACCAUAGUGGCCAACACGCAGGUUUCAAUCAAGGAUCUAAUGAUUACGAAACAUCUUUGCAGCUUAAACCUGUUGCAAAGAAAAACUGCCAUUCUCAAGUUGAAGUAGAGGAAAAGAUGCCAUUCACUGCACGUGAAUACACAGCCUCAUCGCUUCCUUAGUGGUGUGCCUUUACCCACAGCUUUCAUACUCUGCGAGUCCUUAAAACAAACGAAGUGCACAAGUGUUUUCCCAUUGGGAUAGACUGCAAAAACACUCGUUCCAAUUUUCUUGCUGCAAAGAGAGCACAUACUAUCACUGGUGAUCUUUACUACUGUUUUCCUUUGGUUGUACAAUUCCUCUUUCACCUGCAAGUUCUCACUUUGCCUCAAACUCUUGAUAACCAAGAGAUUCCGGUAUGCUUCGCUCGAUUUUCUCAUAAGAGGUCCAAGAAAAGGAAGCAAAUUCUGCAAUUUAGUUUCCUUUGGCAAAAGUUUGAGUGCCUGAGCUCCAUUGAUUCUGUCCCACCUUCUGCUCAAAAGGUCAAGGACCCCAUCAAGCAUGAUCGCUGAACCUCCUUCCUCCGUAAAUUCAUCUGCAUCACCAUCACUUCUACUACUGUCAGUACUACUAAGACUAAAACGCAUGUCCUCUGCACCCACUAUUGCAGCAAUUUUCUUAGCUCCACGACCUCCUUUAGCUUUAACUGAUGUACCAGAACCAACCUUUGUAAUACUUGUACCAUGAGACGACACUACAUUUGUAAUUAGCUUUUCAAAGUUAUUGAUUGUCUUCCGGGGAUUCAGAUAAAUUUGCAGAAGAGUAAGGUAUAUAUUGCCAGAAGAUUUUGCAGAUGGUUGAUGAGAUGCAGACUCAUAAACCCGAUCACAAUAGGACAAUGCAAGUUCAGGAACAUGAAGCUUAUGAACAUAAAGAGAUAAGGCAAGCUCAUGCUGGUUCAUUUUCCCCAGUAAAAUUGCACGCUCUUCAUAUAAUGCAUCUGCUGG